rnacentral:rRNA from 1 species
GAUGAACGCUUAGCGACAGGCCUAACACAUGCAAGUCGAGGGGCAUCGGGGUUGAAGCUUUGCUUUAACUGCCGGCGACCGGCGCAAGGGUGCGUAACGCGUGAGCAACAUGCCCGUCACAGGAGGAUAAACCAUGGAAACGUGGCCUAAUACUCCAUAGUAUGUUUUUGAGGCAUCUCUGAGACAUUAAAGCUUCGGUGGUGACGGAUUGGCUCGCGUGACAUUAGCUAGACGGAGAGGUAACGGCUCACCAUGGCGACGAUGUCUAGGGGAACUGAGAGGUUAAUCCCCCACACUGGUACUGAGACACGGACCAGACUCCUACGGGAGGCAGCAGUGGGGAAUAUUGGGCAAUGGGGGAAACCCUGACCCAGCGACGCCGCGUGAGGGAAGACGGUCUUCGGAUUGUAAACCUCUGUCGUAAGGGACGAAUAAUGACGGUACCUUACAAGAAAGCCACGGCUAACUACGUG